rnacentral:lncRNA from 1 species
CAUGAGGACCUGGGAUAUCUACUUCACUUCAGUGCAGGCUCCAAAUCGGUUUGUGAGUGGUGCAAAGGCGUGCCAGUCAAUUUGACCUGAAAAUUCCUGAGCCGAUCAGUUGUAAAGCCUUUCGAACUCAUGGGUAGGUGUUCUUGGAAUAAACACCACGAUAAAUAGAUAAUUAAUGUAAUACAUGCGGUGUAAGAAAAUAAAGCAAUCAUGGCAUGUGCCAUGGGCUAUGUUAGCCGAUGGGCUAAGAAAAAGCAUUAAAAGCAAGGCAGCUAUAAAAGCGGGGAUCCCCAUUCACCACGCGCUGAUCAUGUAAGCUAGCACAUCUAUCCAAUGUCAUGGUUGGGUAUUGAACUUAGAAAAGGUAACCCCAUGAGAGGGCAAAGGCAUCCAUCUACUAGCUUACAAGACCAGAACAUAGAAUAAGGAUCAGCCGAUGGUAACUGUACACGAGCCAGAAACAUUAACAGAUAAUGGUUGACGCCAUGGUUGGGCUCCUGUAGCCUUUAGACAGUAAAACCCCACGAGAGGCGUCACCCGCUACCUGCCAAUGCAUCAGACUAGAGCACAAAAACCAAGGGCCUCUUGCCUACCGCUCCAUAAGCCAAUCAAGGUAAUGAAGUCUAAUUAGUGUCAUGGUUGGGUAUUGAACUCAGACAAUUUAACCCCGUGAGAGGGCACUAAAUUUGACCCGCUAGCCUCAAUUAAAUGAGUAUCACGAUCGCAAGGCCUCGCGCACACUCCUAUUGGCUCAAUGAAAUCAGCGUGCUCCCGCGGGAUGCGGAUAAGACCCGACUGAAGCAUCAACUCCCAGUGGUAGCGUGGUGACAUUAGAGGCCAGACGGAUGGCGACGCGAGGGGCAGGGGUAAAGAUCUAUUGGCUAAAGCAUAUAUAAACCAAAGCAGAGCACGCAAAAACUAGCCAGCCUAUGUGAUCUGAUAACUAUGAAUGCAGUAAAAGGGACUAGGAAGCUGAUGAAGACAACCUAAUCAGAUCUAAAGCAUUCGAUAACCGGUGAGAAACCGAUAAAAAGCAAGCAAGAGUAUCGACAAAAGCCUAGGGACUAAUACUUGCAGAUCAAAGGUAUUCUCGAUAGCUGCUGUGAGCGCCUAGCAACAACCCCUAGAUGGAUCUAAGAAAACUCGAUAACUUAAGCACCGUCGAUGACAACUCAACGUAUACACCAAGCCUAGGGACAUUGACUUGUAAUCUAAGGUAACUCAAUAACUAGCCACACGUGAAAACAUUCCAGAAUAUGAGACCUAACUCAGAAAGUUCUGCGAGAGGUCGCCAUGAUCGGGUGACGGUACUUACAAGCUCGCAGAGAUCAAAGCUGAUGCAGCCAUACACGUAGGAAGGAACUCGUUGAAACUACUCCACUCUUACCCCUAAGGGUUUUGGCAGCUGGCGCUGAAAGGUUGUAUUGAUUGAUUGUUGAUUGUUUUUACAAGAGCUCAUAGGUUUAUAUUUAUACCCUAGAGCAAGCUAAAGUCCUAGUCGAAUAUGACAUGAACUGUUAUAGCAAACUACUCAAACUGCCUAAGAUACAAUCUCCACGCUUUCCCUUAUUUGGUGGAGCCGAUUCUAUCUCGGACUGGGCCCGCCUGGUCUUAUGUCAGCUUCUGGAAGCAUGGUCAGCUGCGGCUGGUCUUGGUCAACAUGGCUCCACCGGUAGUCUCUUUCUCUCUCCUCUAUCAGCUGUCUGGACCUUAUCAACAACGGUUAACUCUGGCCAAAAAUCGGUGUCAACACAUGUCCCCCAAUUUUGGGUAUAACAUUAUAUUCGAAUAUUCUCUUGUCUUCAUCAGUUUGAGCUGAUAAACUUCCAAAUUCCAAUUCAGUCGUUGCCGCAAUUAUGGCUUCCCUUUCCUUGGUUCCCGUGGUGGCGCCACCCUUGAUUUUCGGGAUUCACCUUGUGAAGGAAUAUUAUAAAACUUCUCUAUCCUCCCAUCCUCUAGUUCAUCUUCCCCUUCAAGCCAAGUGAUCCUUGCACUGCCGCCAAUCUGAGAUCAGAUUUCGCUUCUGAGUUCUUCUUCAAACAUCGCGCCCGCGCAAGCAAUCGCAUGCCGAUGGCUACAUCCACUACCGUCCCAGAGGUACAGUACAUUGCCGCCCUGAUUCGUAUUAUCUUCAGAUCCAAUCUCUCCUUUUGCAAACUUUUUCAUCUCCUUCCCUAGCUUAAUUUGUAGGCGCUUAGAGACCAUGUAUUGAUCCCUCUUAGUGAUGUGAAUGAUGCUUAAUUCCUUGGCCCCAUGGGUGAUACGGAUCCAAUGGACUUAAUCAAUGCCGAAACCCAACAAAUUCUGUACAAGGCUUCUUCCAUGGAUCUAUCUGUUUGGGAAGGCGAUUUCUGUUCAUGGCCCUGCAACCCCCAAGGUUGGAUGACAUGGUAUCACAGGGUAUCAGCCACCAAGAAAGUAGAAUGGGAUGAAUUGUGCAUCGGCCAUUGUAUUAAACUUUCUUUAGCCAAUAUGGAAAAAGACGAAUCCAUGCUUGCUGCUGCUUGGUACUUCUGGUUUGAUGCAUUAAAUGCCUUCUUAUUGGUGAUGGUCCUAUGUCCCCUAGUUUGUUGGACGUCUACAUGCUGACGGGGCUCAAUAUCACUUCCCCUGCUUCUCCUUUCCUAUUUCAAAUUGUCAACAAGCACAAAUUGGGCACAAGAGGCACGAUGAAUUGUAGCCGAUAUAUCAAUUCCUUUAGCAAAACUUCGGUGCAUAUAUGUACAGUUUCCACUGGAUACUCCUUGUUGUCGUGAUUGAUCAAAGCGCAGUCUAUAUCCCGGACUCUUGAGGAAACCAAGAGAUCAAUACAAAAAUCUCAUAGACAUUCUUAACAAAGCAUGGGCUCGCUUUCGUCGACAUCAUGCGGGUGAAUUCAAGGAGGAACUUGAUUUCAAGCCUGAAUUCCCGGUAUGUGUUAAAUUUCAACAUCUCGUGACACUUCAUUGAACACAACAAAUAUUUCAUAACUUCUUUUGCCAUAUAUAUAGUGUUUGAGACAGAAGCAGGGGAAUAGUUUAUGCGGAUAUUACGUAUAUGAGUUCAUCCAUGGCUUUGUAGGUCCCAAGCAUAUAACUGACCACGAAUUCAGAGUAUGUUUACAAAUUUCUUAAACAAUAAAUUAGCUCUAAUUGUGAAGACCCAUUGAUCUACUAUAUAUAUAAUAACAUUUACCAAUGACACUGAUGAUGCACAUGAAGGAAGCACUCCUCGACACGAAAAAAAUCAGGGCAAUUCAAGAACAACUCUCUGAAUUUAGUUUUUCUGGACGAGGUAGUAAAUCUAGCGGGGGAGUUUCAUAAUGAUGGAUCAAAUCUGCAACACCGUCAGGACUCGGGUUCAGAAUAGUUGAUCCCAAAUGUUGAACUUGGAAAGUUGAUGCAAUGUAAUAUUAUUCAUAUAUGUGUAUGCAUAAUAUGUCUAUAUAUAGAAAGUUGAUGCAAUGGAAAGUUGAUGCAUAUUAGAACUAGUAUACGUAAAGGAAACAAAUACGAAAUACUAAUAUAGAAUAAAGAAACAGAAAAGAAAAUGAGAAAAAAAUAGAAAAAAAUCAUUUAGUACCGGUUGGAGAGACCAACCGGUACUAAAGGUCCCUUUAGUACUAAUUAUUUUAACCGGUAUUAAAGGUCCCCUUAGUACUAAACUAGCAAUACCGGUUGCUAAAGCGGUACUAAAGGGGAUUCCCAACCAAUAUGAUGGCGCUUUCCCCACCAGUGGAUCUUCGGCAUGGCAUGGUGUGGACGCACACCAAACGACGAGCCCAAAGAUGGAGGAACUGCAUCUUUCUCGCAACCGGCCAUUGCUGCGUUCUGCAUCAACCUCCUUGGAUUCCGUGGCCUCUUCCACGACGUGACUCUACUCUCCCGUGGCCUCUUCCCGCAGACACAGAGGCCUGCAGCCGUUGAAACCCGUAUGACUUUGGCUCCGAUGGAGCCAGUUCCUCGCCAUCCCGUGGUCCAGGUUCACUAGCAGCCGGGUGAGAAAAAUUAGCGGAGCUCCCCGAGAAAAAUCUGGCCACACAGCUAACGAGUCACGACGGACACCGAGAGACCGAGACCGCAGAGGCCAGGCAAGCCGCAAGCGGCGACUGCGAGAGGCGGCCAAGCCGAAGCGCUAGCCGCCAGCGUGGAUCGCCAUCCCGCCCCGUGGUCCGGAAGAUAAGGGGCGCCGCUAGGUGCCGACACGUCACGCCAGACGAGAUCAGGAUAGGCCAGCCUGGCCGGGUGACGCCACCGGCGAACGGUGGCCACUCCUGCCACAUCCGGUCGUCCUGCGCCGGAUGGGAAGAUGGGGCGCCAUGGAGCCGCUAGGCUAUAUAUAUAUGCCGCCGGUGGGGGAGCCUACAGGGACUCAAGCAAGCCUCGCUCUGCUUCCUCUUCUCCUUGGUUAAUAAUACUAGUAGUAAGCAUAUACUAGCACUAGCUAGUAAGCCAUGGCGCCGACCGUGAUGGCCUCGUCGGCCACCUCAGUUGCUCCAUUCCAGGGGCUCAAGUCCACCGCCGGACUCCCCGUGAGCCGCCGCUCCAUCAGCACCGGCUUCGUCAGCAACGGCGGAAGGAUCAGGUGCAUGCAGGUAAUAUAAUCGAUCGAUCAAGACACUGGAAUUAUAUUCUUGCUGUUUGUUCAUAGAAAUAAUGCAACUCAAUAGGAAGUUUAGGAACUGAUAUGAAAGUGUCGUUGCUCAGGUGUGGCCGGCGGAGGGCAACAAGAAGUUCGAGACCCUCUCCUACCUGCCACCUCUCUCCACGGACGAGGUCCUGAAGCAGAUCGACUACCUGAUCCGGAAGAACUGGAUCCCCUGCCUUGAGUUCAGCAAGAUCGGGUUCGUCUAUCGUGAGAACAGCACGUCUCCCUGUUACUACGACGGGCGCUACUGGACCAUGUGGAAGCUGCCCAUGUUCGGCUGCACCGAGGCCACCCAGGUGUACGCUGAGUUCGAGGAGUGCAAGAAGGCCUACCCCGACUGUUACAUCCGUAUCAUCGGCUUCGACAACAUCAAGCAGGUGCAGUGCGUCAUGUUCAUCGCCUACAAGCCCCCGGGCAGCGAGUAGACCGGCGGCGCCAAAUAAAAAGCUUAAAUACCUGUCCGUCUCAGUUCAACACCGCUUGAUUAUCUCCAUUUUUCCCCAUCUGAACGCUUCUGUAACUAUUGGGCGAGCAUGCGUGCCCAUGAGCAAUGC